rnacentral:lncRNA from 7 species
CACAACUGCCUUGCUGGCAGGCUGCAGGUCUGAGAUGGCUCAGUGCAGGGAUGCUACCAGUUCCCUGAGCCCUGCUUUGCUCUGGAAAGGCCUUGAGCAUCUCCAGAGCCUUGUUGCCUCCAUCAGGCUGGCAGUGGAUGCUGUCCCGGACUGAGAGGACCGUUCCUCAUGUUGUGUGGUUGUGGUCUGAGCGUCUUGGGAGUGGGAAGCUCUGGUUACCCAGAAAGAAGGACCCAGGCUGCCGGGCUGAGGGGCAGGAGCAUGCGCACAGGCCUUACCUAUGAAAAGUUUUGUGUUCCAGCUGACUUCCUCCAAGAGAGCUGCCAAUGUGCUUUUUCAUCAGGACUACGUGAAACACCUGAGUUCACUGGGACUGCAGGAAAACUGUCUCAGAGACAAAGAUACACAGCCUCCCUGGAUUGCUGGCUACAUGCCUGAUCUGAGGCAGGACCUAGGAAUCUUUUCCUGAAAUUAACGCGAAUUCAGGAGGUUUGUGUUUUAAGAACUGCACCCAGUCCUGUGAAAGCAGAGGUAAGAACCAGCAGUUUGCAAUGCUAAUUAUUGCUCGGUGAUUUGAGGGGACCUGCACAAUGUGCUAACAUGCCUAUGAUGACACGCAGCAUGAUACAUGGGGAAAGGUGAAGGCAAGGCUCAUAUAUCCCCAUAACACUGAAAGCAUAUUUCCCUCUCUAAUAACUUACAAACAGUCACCAUUUGCUGUCUGCAAAAUUAACCUCUCAUCUCCUCCAGCUUGCUGAUCUGGUGCAUAGAUAUAGGAUUUUAAGCUUCUCUAUUGAAAAAUGUCCCUGCAAAGCUGUCCAUCAGAACUCCCACUGCUUUCCAGAGAGUAUUAUUAAUAAGUUCUUCCUAUCAGAAAUGGGACCCUUUUAGAGCUCAGAUAAGGUUUUUUUCCCUGUUAACCAGCUGGGCUGCUUGGCUGUGGACAAAUGCCAUGAUGAAUGAUGGGUCAAGGAUGGAGCAGGCUGAUUUCUCUCCGAGCUUGACCUUGUCUCUGGUGUGACAUCUGAAAUGACAGGUGCAUUAAAAAGUUAUUUAUGUAGGGGAGCUGCGAUGCAUUGUACCCUUUGCAAGGUAGCACCCAGUUUUGCAGGAGUCUUAGAAUAAAGGCUGCCUCUGUGUCUGCUGCCUCUGGUACUGCUGGCUUUCUGUAAGCAGCUGCUGUGAAAGCAAGAGGGGAAGCGUUGAGCAUUUUUUAGCGCACAGAGGAUGCUCUGGGAGGUGAAAGGCAAAAAAGGUCCGAGAGCAGGAGCAGGCAGCUUCCCAGCAAAUCACCUGUGUGUCUGCAGAUUGCUUGCCUGGAACAGCAGUAACCAGCUCUGGAAAUGCACCUGAAGGGUUCUGGGCUGUUGAAGGCCCAAUGUUGUGGAUAAAAUGCAGCACUGAGGAUUAAAUGAUUUCUACUGUUCAGCUC